GAUGAACGCUGGCGGCGUGCCUAACACAUGCAAGUCGAGCGAACAGAUAAGGAGCUUGCUCCUUUGACGUUAGCGGCGGACGGGUGAGUAACACGUGGGUAACCUACCUAUAAGACUGGAAUAACUCCGGGAAACCGGGGCUAAUGCCGGAUAACAUUUAGAACCGCAUGGUUCUAAAGUGAAAGAUGGUUUUGCUAUCACUUAUAGAUGGACCCGCGCCGUAUUAGCUAGUUGGUAAGGUAACGGCUUACCAAGGCAACGAUACGUAGCCGACCUGAGAGGGUGAUCGGCCACACUGGAACUGAGACACGGUCCAGACUCCUACGGGAGGCAGCAGUAGGGAAUCUUCCGCAAUGGGCGAAAGCCUGACGGAGCAACGCCGCGUGAGUGAUGAAGGUCUUCGGAUCGUAAAACUCUGUUAUUAGGGAAGAACAAAUGUGUAAGUAACUGUGCACGUCUUGACGGUACCUAAUCAGAAAGCCACGGCUAACUACGUG
rnacentral:rRNA from 1 species